rnacentral:rRNA from 1 species
UGCGUAGGCGGCGCGGAAAGUCAGGGGUGAAAUCCCGGAGCUCAACUCCGGAACUGCCUUUGAUACUCCCGUGCUAGAGAGCUGGAGGGGACAUCGGAAUUCACGGUGGAGCAGUGAAAUGCGUGGAUAUCGUGAGGAACACUAGUGGCGAAGGCGGAUGUCUGGACAGUAUCUGACGCUGAGGCACGAAGGCCAGGGGAGCGAACG